rnacentral:rRNA from 1 species
AUGGUGUGCCGGGGUGGCGGCCCCGGUCAAGGUGGGCAGCGCUGCUCCCUGCAACGGACGACGGCUGCGGGUGCUCGGCUGGGCUCCUCGGCUUGCUUGGGCGGCGAGGCCCCGGUGGAUGGAGCUCGCGGUGGCCGGAUUUCCUCCGUCGGUCCGCCUCCAGAUCUGAUUCGACCAGCUCCAACUCCACCCUCCUCGCCUUCUCCCGUUCGAUCUCAGCUCCGGUGCGACUCUGCUCGCCGGAUCCGGCGGUUGGCGGUGUUUUGGCGGUGGGGCUCCUGGGACCGGGGGAAACCCUUGGCCGCCGCCGGCGGCCACAACGACGACGAUGCCGCGGCGUCGAACUACUUCUUGGAGGCUUCGUUGAGGUAUCCCACCCCCCACCAAUCUGCCCCUGCAUCUAGGUGA